GUCUGCUUGUUUUUAUAGCGCUACCUACCACGAUAAGUGCACACGAACCGUUCGUACUUUCAACCCUGUCACUACCUGUGUUUAGUUGUACCAUUAGGUUGCCUAGGAAACCUAAUAAGCCGCACAAACUCAUUACCAAAAGCAGACAAACACAAAUCGAAGCAUUCUGGUGACUUUCACGUGUAGCAAAUCAAAUUUUAUAAAAAAAAUAAGAAAUAGAUAAUAAUGAGUGGUCGUCUCACACAAACCGGAAAGAAGAAAUCCAAAGAAAAUCGUCGGAAGAGCUCUAAACCAGUGAACCGUACCAAAACCAAACGUUGCAAGUCACGACCAACUCGCGAAUACCAGGAAAAUGAGCGCGAGGUACAAGCUUUAUUGGAGAACACAAGUCUGUCUAUCGAUAACAGUCCACAGAGUCAUCGAAAAGAUGAGCUAACGUUGAGUCUGGAUUUUUUUUGUCGCACCAGCGAGGAAGAACUCCCAACAGCCGGGAGCUCUGCGCAACAUAAGAAGCUACUGAAGAGCGAAAAUAUUGAAGAAACUAGUUUAGACAAUGGCAGCGAGAGGACUGAAGAGGACGACGAGCAGCAGGAAGAGUUUACAACUGCUGACGAGGAAGAUGAGAAUGCGUCUGAGGGCAGCGAACAAACCGUUUCACCGACCUCCACACAGCAACGCGAGCAAACCGCUUCCACCUACAUACAAGUCGAUGAAGAUGAUGUGGUCGUGCAACGGAUUGAGUGUGAAAAGUUCAUACCAGACGCAAGUUUGCUUUUCAAGCCACAGGCGAAACUCACGUCGGAAGUCGCCUUGGCUGUCAGUAGUCUUGAGAAUCUGGAUAGUAGAGGAAAGCCGCAAGCACUAAGUGCCAAUAUCUGUCGUAUGCUGAAUCGGCAUCAAGCAGAGCAGCGUGCGAGAGAUGAACCCAUCUCUAAAGCAGUUGUGGAACAACUAAAGCUUACCAAUUCAACGUGGUCGUCAUAUACGAAGGAUCGUACACUUUACCGCAGCUUUUGCGCACAUAAAUUUCAUCCGGUAUUUUGUGUACCGACACGUCAACCGGACGAGAUACCCACAAGGAAAUUUGUGCGCAUCUACAUGAAGGAGCUGCUCUUCACAGCUCAUCCGCAUUUGUUGGAGGAACAUCGACUCUCUAACGCCUUGGAAGAACUCCAUGAGAAUUAUGUGCAGCGGCAACAGCAACGUAUUUGUGAAAAGCUGCGCGCACAACUGCAGACCGAGCGUCGCGUGGUCAAUGAGCUGUUGCUGCGUGAGUCAAGGAACAGCGCCGAACAGGAGUCGGCGCGUACAAUUGAGCGACGAGCGCGACAACUGGAAAAUCAGUUGCUGAGCGUGCGUGCGCUACGCAACAGGCUUUAUGAGGAGGAGGCGCAUUCCAAGCAGCUGCUCAAAGAAAUACUAGACACUUGGAAGCGUCUCAAGCAACUACGUAAGACACAAGAUUACCAAUGUACGCGUUUCAAACUGCGCAUUCACGUGGAGGAUGCGGCAAAUACGGCCGCGGAAGCACAACGCUGGGCUGAGCGCUUCGAGACUGACUUGAAUGAAAUUUACCGCGAGGAGUUGGAGAUUUAUUAUCGCGCCAAACGUCUGUGGAAGGCGCGCGAUCGCAAGGCGGGUAUAACCGAGCUGCCAAUUAAGCCACGUAAACCGGAUAUCACACAGCUGUCGACGGAAUUGCGCGCCAAGUUAGCCGAGUGUCUGGGUGCGCAAGGCGAACCGAAGAUCAAUGUACAACUACAUCGUGUAUGUGAGGGCGAGUUUUACAACCUGCCCGGUUUGAAACGACUAAAAAGUUUCUACAUGAAAAUUUACUUCGAUGGCGAGUUUGUGAGCGCGACGCGCAGUUAUCGCAUCGAACCCGAUUUACGUAUACCGAUGAACGAGGUAUUUGGCAUCUUUUUGGAGCGGCGCAUGCCAAAGGAUAUAAGAGUAACGCUCUACGAAAAAUUCCGUCUGCACUCAGCGCGCAAAGUCGUCGAUAUAGAGGUGCCUAUACCGCACGCGCUGCACACGGCCGACACCGAGCAGCAACGCAUAUGCUUUACAGCGCAAAAAUCAUUAAACGUCAGUGGGCGUCUCACCAUACGCUUUCAAUGUGAGGAACAAGUGGACUUGAGCGCACACUGGUAUGUGCCAACUGCCGCCAACACCAGUCCCACCGGCUCGCUGCAAAGCUCACCCACGAGUCAAGCAAUUGCGCGAGAGCCCCUUGCCGAAAAACUAUUAGCGCAAUUGGACGACAAUGCACAGCACACUGAUGACGACGAAAUAGCAAGUGAGUCGGCUGAACCCGAUAAACCGGCAGCGACGUCAUUUAACACGUGUACCUUCGAAGAGGACUUGUUGCAUUUUUGCCCUAUCGAAGAUUUGAAGCAUAACCGACGCUUUAAGCUACUGCGCUCACGUUACUUGAAAAAUGAUCCGCGCACACGCGAUUUGCGCUUUAUUGCGGCACUGGACAAUGAGCUCGAAUUCGAUUGGUCCGAUAAGGAGGAGGCGGUCAUUGAAGCGGGCGAUUGGAUGGAUCCGAUAGAUUUGCAUAAGCAUGAGGGCAAAAAGUAUCUGAAGCAACUGUACGAAGCGUUACGUAGCCAGUGUGCGCGUUUGAGCAUUGCUGCGGCCAGCGCCGAAGAGUUGCUGAUCGGCGAUGUGCCUGCCAGUUGGAGCACAUUCUUUCAGGUUUUAAGUUUGAUCUUCAAUCCCAGACGUACAUUGAGCGCGCCACCCACUCCGUCAACUACGUCACGUGCGCACGUACUGGAUAUGGAUGCUAGUCAAAACUACAAGAUUGUUCUGAAUAUCGUACGCGCUACCGGCAUACCAGUGCGUAUACCAAGCACGACGGAUAACGAGAGUAAGGAACGCAGUAAUGAGAGCCCGAACAUGUUCGUGACGCAGCUUUAUAAAUACUCCAACGUGCGUCCGUUCAUAGUACUAAGUUACAGAGAUAAAUUUUGUCGCUCGCUAACCGUAGAGGGCUCAAAUCCGACAUGGAAUGAGCAACUCAUCUUGCAGUUCAGUGGCAGCUUGACGGAUCUGCGCGACGAUCUCAAAAUCUCACUCUUCGACGAAGUGAUCGAGAAUCAUCUUAACGAUGAACUCAGCGUGCGCAACAUGGAUAUUUAUCAGCGCGUACAAACUAAUUGGCUGGGUGAAUACCGGUUUCCCUUGCACACACUGCUCUCACAACAAAAGCUUGAUGGCGUAAUCGAGUUGAAGACACCCAAAGUGCUGCUUGGCUACAAACAACCAACUCUGGAGCACAUAACCGCACAAGCUGACGUGAAUAUAUCUAUUGAACAAUUUCCGGAAAUAAAAGAAACGGUGCGCCUUUGGUUCUACAUGAGCAUUGAGCCGCACGUGACACUGCCACACAUCAAUACCGCUAGCUUGGAAUGUGCCGAAUUGAAGGACGUGCGACAGCAGCUGCUACAGUGGUCGCUGCAAGCGCAAGAGCUGCAUUCCGCACGUUAUAUUGAACCGUUAGUUUGCACGGCAGAGGGUAAACGCGUUUGUUUAACGCGUCUCUUGGAACCGGUGCCACUGCCGUUGGAAUUGAACGAACAGAAGUUCGAAUUGGCUUGCCGUUUCGUCGCACUCUUGAAUGUAUUGAAGACCUACGACCCGUGCAUGCGCUUCGAUGGCAUUUGGCUAAAUAACCAAUGUGUGUUGGAUACCAAUUGGUGUACGUUGAAGGAUCUUGGCGUGUUGUUGUGUAAUUUUCUCCUCGGCAUUGGUGUUAAUUGUUGGCUCGUGCUCGGUCAUGCCACAGCGUAUGGCGAGUGUGCUUUUGUUCUGUAUAGAAGUGAUGAAGGUGAACUCAUGCUUAUCGAUCCUCAGACGGGCAAACGUUCCGGCACAAGGGAUGUCUUCUGUCCGCUCUACAAGAUAUGCAUGGUGGUGGCGCAGGACAAUUUAUACGCCAACAUUCAAUCUGAAACGCGUGUCACAAUGACGAAUUUCAAUUUGAACGACACAUCCUGUUGGCUGCCCGCCUUCACGAAACGCAAUCCUGCCCCGUUGGGCGGUGUACAAAAACUGGAUUACACUUACCAGCUCGCCUUCAAUACAUUCGAGCUGAGACGCAACAUUGAGCGAAAGAUAAUGAAGAAAAUCAAUUCGUGGCGCGCUAUGCGUAAGACCAUUUGGAAUCGCGCCUUUCAGCCACGCCUGCAAAGCAUUCUUCAAGACUUAGAACAACUAAGUAUUUCCGAUAAUGGAUCGUACACCGAAGCUAAGUACACCGACCAAGUAGCGGCUGAAUUUCCAAACUAUAAGAUCUAUGGCUAUGCACUCAACUUUCCCUAUACAAAUCUCACAUCGAUUUCUGAACGCAUAAAGUCCACUGGCAUACAUUUAAAUUCGGAUAAGCGUGUUGAGUUUUGCUUGGCGACGCAUAUACACAUCUAUCCAAAUGAUGUGCUCUCUGUGUGGAUAUUUCUGAUAUCAUUGAUACCUAACGGGUUUAAUUAAGGGUUAAGGGAGCUUCAUUGAAACAUUUAAUGUGCGUAAAUAUUAUCUAUAUAUUUUACUACUGUUUGGUGCCACGAUUCUUGUAUAUACCGUUAGUUAUAUACCUAACAUAUCAAAAGCACUACUAAUGUUUCUCCUAAAUGGCCA